UGGGGAAUAUUGCACAAUGGGGGAAACCCUGAUGCAGCGACGCCGCGUGAGCGAAGAAGGCCUUCGGGUCGUAAAGCUCUUUUAUGAGGGAAGAUAAUGACGGUACCCCAAGAAAAAGCCCCGGCUAACUACGUGCCAGCAGCCGCGGUAAUACGUAGGGGGCUAGCGUUGUCCGGAAUCACUGGGCGUAAAGGGUUCGCAGGCGGAAUAACAAGUCAGAUGUGAAAGGCAUGGGCUCAACCCAUGUAAGCAUUUGAAACUGUAAUUCUUGAGAAGUGGAGAGGUAAGUGGAAUUCCUCGUGUAGCGGUGAAAUGCGUAGAUAUUAGGAGGAAUACCUGUGGCGAAGGCGACUUACUGGACACAAAUCUGACGCUGAGGAACGAAAGCGUGGGUAGCAAACAGG
rnacentral:rRNA from 1 species